rnacentral:ncRNA from 1 species
GAGCUCUGGAGAAGCCUAAUCUCGAAUUAGGUGCCGAAGGUGCAAGAGUUAUACUCGAAUCUCUCAGGCAAAAGGACAGAGUC